AGUCACUGACAUUAUACCCGCGUAGUCCAGGGUGUAAACGCUGCAGACUUGGUGUUGGGAACCCUUCGGGGGUGCUCAGUGCCGGAGAGAAGUUGUUAAGUCUGCUACUUGGGAGUACGUCCGCAAGGAUGAAACUUAAAGGAAUUGGCGGGGGAGCACCGCAACGGGAGGAGCGUGCGGUUUAAUUGGAUUCAACGCCGAAAACUCACCAGCAGCGACUGUUACAUGAAAGUCAGGUUGAUGACCUUACUAGAUUUUCAG
rnacentral:rRNA from 1 species